UAAGCGGAGGAAAAGAAACUAACAAGGAUUCCCCCAGUAACGGCGAGUGAAGCGGGAAGAGCUCAAGCUUAAAAUCUCCAUGUGUAAGCAUGGCGAAUUGUAGUCUAUAGAGGCUGUUGUCAGCACAGCGAUCUGGGAAAAGUCCCUUGGAAAAGGGCAGCACAGAGGGUGAUACUCCCGUCUUUGCUCAGAUCGUCUUGUGUGUACGAUACGCUUUCUUUGAGUCGAGUUGUUUGGGAAUACAGCUCAAAGUAGGUGGUAAAUUCCAUCUAAAGCUAAAUAUUGGUGCGAGACCGAUAGCGAACAAGUACCGUGAGGGAAAGAUGAAAAGAACUUUGAAAAGAGAGUUAAAGAGUACCUGAAACUGUUGAAAGGGAACCGUAUCGUUUCCAGUGUUAUAUCCUGUGCAUAUUUCAUUAGCGGAGCAAUUUGCUGGUGCCCUGUGCAUGGGUGUGACGUCAGAGUCAGUUUGUAUGCUGCGGGAGAUGGUCAGUGAGGAGGUGCUUCACUUCGGUGAAAGUUAUAUCUUGCUGUCUAGUAGCCGUGGUUGAGACUGAGGUGCCUACAACAUGCCUUGGGGUUCGGGGCUGUCUUGUUUUGGAAACUGCUUGGAUAGCUUGCUAUGUCUGUGGUUUUUCAGAGCAAUUGAUGGUGUCGAUAACCCCUGCUGUUCGGGACUCUGGCGAAAUGGAGCGAUAC
rnacentral:rRNA from 1 species